GGGCUUAUGCCUAUGAAAAUUGUAAUACAACUUUCAGCAACGGAUCUCUUGGCUCUCGCAUCGAUGAAGAACGCAGCGAAAUGCGAUAAGUAAUGUGAAUUGCAGAAUUCAGUGAAUCAUCGAAUCUUUGAACGCAUCUUGCGCUCCUUGGUAUUCCGAGGAGCAUGCCUGUUUGAGUGUCAUUAAAUUCUCAACUCUCUGAUACUGU
rnacentral:rRNA from 1 species